GGGACUUCUUUUCGGACGAUCUGUGAGAGCAAAGCAGACAAGAUGUAGGCAGGGGACUGAUAGUUCUGGUGGCGGAAUCCACCACUGGAAGAUUUCGAACAUAGAAUAGUUGAUGAAUUUAGGAUGAUAGAGUCCGUGCCCAGCGAUUGUGUGAUCUGUUGAUUCUAAACUAAGAUUGUCGGGUGUAUUCCAUUCUGCAACGAUUCAACUGAGCGCCAGUGAAAGAAUUCUACUUCCUGAUGUAAAGAUGAUUGUCGCUUGCAAAACACGGAAAGUCUGAAUUCAUGGUGAAACUCUAGAGGUGAUGAAGAACAACAUAUAAGGAGUGUCCGGCCACACUUUCUGAUUUUAAACGUGCUUUAACAUCUACACUUCGUUCUGCAUGAGGAUCAUAAUGAUCAUUUCUCGGCUUCCCUGGAGCAUUAUCAACACCGUUAGGGCUCCACCCACUCUAUGGAAGAAGAGACUGGGGUAAAAUUUAAGGUCCACUAAAGAGCGACAGAAGCAUAGACGCAAAACCUUCUCAACACAUCCUUUCCUCUUUACCCCAACAAACCCACUCAGUUUUGCCUUUGUUCACUUCUUCCAGAUGUUUUUGCAUCUGUAGUAAUCUAUUCCCUGUUGCUAUGGGAAUAAUAUACCUGACAGAGGCGUCUUGAGGCAGAAAAAGGUUUAUUUUGGUUCAUGGUUCCAUGGAGCAGAGUCCAUCAUACCAAUGAAGGCAUACAUACAGCAGAAGCAUAAUAGCAAGGCAUACAGCAGAUGCAUAAUAGCAGCUUGUCAGAUUGCAUCAGCCAUAAGGAAGAAGCCUCAGUGAUAAACGUCCUCCACUAAAGAACCCUUCUGAAAGUUUCUAUAAUUUUCCCAAACUACCAACUGGAACCAAGUGUUCAAACCCAUAUGCCUCAGGAAGACAUCUCACAUUCAAAGCACAAUGAUGUUGAACAACCCAGUAUGUCUCCUUAUGUCACUAAAGCUGCCUUGAUGACGUCAGCUUGCUUCCUGUUCAGCGAACAAAAUGAAUAUUAUCUACUCUAGUCACGGCUCCAGCCUGGUGUUCUGCCUCUAAACUUCCUCAAGUUGUUCAAGUUUGGGUAUAUCUCUAAUUCAGCGUCCGUGAGAGUGCCAUGAAAUGCACACCACUAGGUGAUGUCAUACCUCAUUAUGCCUUUGCAUCCUAAACCACUCUCAGGAUAGCCAGUGCUGUUCUGUGUGCGCGGAAGCCAUCUUAACACAGAAAGGAAACUGUAAAAGGUCUUCCCCUUACAUGUCCUCUUUUGCUUGCUAUCAUGGAAGUGAUAUUUUCUGAUCAUAACUCUCAAGGUCCACCUUAUCCUCAAACCUCUGCAUUGUUUGAGGAGUCACCAUAGAGUUUCUGGUUUUUACUUUAAACCUCGCAUUCUCUUUAUGUAAUAUGCUGGAUAAUUUCACAGGCAUCAGGAAUUGAAUCCCCUUCUACCAAGUCUCAUGGGUGGCGGCCCUUCACUGGGCAAGCAUAGGUAUUCAUUAAAUAUUCAUCGAAAGAUUUUUUUUUUAUUAACUUGUUGUGGCUUUCCCCACACUUUGGAUCCAACUCAAAUACCAGUUAAUACAUAAUCCUUUUUUUU
ensembl:lincRNA Gm26760 predicted gene, 26760